rnacentral:lncRNA from 1 species
CUUCCAGGUUUUGGCCUGUGGGUCUGACUGCAGCUGCAGGGACUUCCCAGGUGGUGAUACCUGAGCCAGAGGGGUGUACUGAGCUGGUGUCGCUGAAGUCAUGGGGGGAAGAGCUUUGUCUGCCUAGAGUUUGAACUAGAGGAGUCAAUUAUAAGAUAAGAACCCUGGGCUGGGAGACAGGGCUUAGGGUCAUGUUUCUGCCCUUUCUAGUUCCAUGGCUUUGUGCACAUCCCUGAGGCCUGUUUCUUCAUCCAUAAAAGCUGAUCUCAUUUUUGCCUACAUUCUCCGUUUGUGAUAAUACAUCCUUUCCUUAUGUGACUAAGACCUCCCAGAGGGCAGGGACUCUCCUUCUGUGUCCUUUAUUUCUGGGAUCCCAGCACAAAGCAGAGUGAGACAGCACAGCCAAGUCCACUGAGUGAAUAGGUGAGGAUCCAACUGGAGAAUCUACUUUUAACUACUCUUUUCUUUUUAGUCUUUUACUCUUUUCUUUUCCAUACUGGGGAAAUCCAGGGCCUCAGCAAGCGCUCGACCACUGAGCUCUACCUACUGCCCAAACAUUUUACUUUUUAUCCCUCUGUGCCUUUUUC